rnacentral:rRNA from 1 species
UACGGGGGGGGCUAGCGUUGUUCGGAAUUACUGGGCGUAAAGGGCGCGUAGGCGGUCUGCUAAGUUGGAUGUGAAAACUCUGGGCUUAACCCAGAGCCUGCAUUCAAUACUGACAGGCUAGAGUUCUGGAGGGGAUGAGCCGGAAGUUCCUGGUGUAGCGGUGAAAUGCGUAGAUAUCAGGAGGAACACCGGUGGCGGAAGGC